rnacentral:antisense_RNA from 1 species
AAGCCUCUUGCUCAUUAAGCAAAGGCCCUCCAAGUCUUUUUACUUCAGCACUUUGGAAACUCUCCAAGACUUAACUUCAGAUCUGGGGAGGUUCUAUGUGGAGCAGACCUAUCCCUUCUUAUUCCUGUUCCUGGAUGUCUCCAUAAUCAGCCUCUACCUUCUCUGGCAUAAGUCGUAUCUGUUAUGCUGCAGGAACUGAGUAACCAAAGCUAGAUAUCCCUUGGACCACUGAUUAGUGACACAUUUUCUCCACAACAAAGGGAGGUUAAAGAUAAAGGUUUAACCUGAGAAACUUUUUUUUUGGCAAGACAAUAAAGAGGUUAAAGAGGCUACGUGGAUCUGUCACUGCUUUAGCUUACCAUUUUCGAUUCAGCACCAAAGUACUCAGGAAGACAGGCUCAGAUCAGGACGACUUCUUAAAGGGAUUCACAGGCAAUCUUAUGGGCAAAAUGAUUUUCCAAAGCUGAGCCACUUGCCCCACCCUACAGGGAGGGGAGUAGAAUCUUAAGGCCCAGCAUUGGCAUUGAGGCAUCUUGCUUUUUUUCCUCAGAAUUCCACAAAGGCUUAAGAGUGAUCUAAAUGCCUGGCUGGAAGCUCAAGUCUAGGAGAGCUAUUUUACUGCACUGUUGAGAUGUUCUCUGCAAGGUGAUAUCCCAAGUGACACAGAAACACAGCUCCCCCGGAUGGUGAAGUCUCCGCUGCAAAACUCACCAGAGAGCACAGAGGAUGACUCUGGGGUGCUCUCCCACUUGCUCCAAGUUAGGUAGGUGCCCUGAUGGAGGCAAGGCUGAGCCAUUAACAUGCAUAGCUCCAUAUCCUGGAAGCCUCUAUAGCCUCGAGGAGAUAGGCUCUACCCAACAGGACUCAGAAUAAAUGACUGCCACCUCAACCGGGCAGUCUGACCUCUUCCACAGUCUUUAAGAAACAGAAGGGCCAUUUGCAUUAUUUAAUCACCAUUCAAUAAUCUCCUCCCUCCCCACAGCUGCUUGAGUUAACUGUCCCACAAGUGUCCUGUGUUUUGUAAAGAUGAGGCUUAUUUUCUGAAAUGCAGAUGGGACUAGGAUGAAGCUGUAUUAUCAAUUACAGCCAACUCUCAUUUCUCUUAAAGCAAAAAUUCAUUCCACUGUGAUUUCUCCAGGUAUUUCCUGCAAUUCUAAAUCCACCCUUGAUAUUAGAGAAUAUUAAAAUCACACA